rnacentral:lncRNA from 1 species
CGGUGCGGCGCGGAUCUGCAGGUGGCCGGCCCUGUCGCCUCGCGCGGUCGCGCCCUCCGCGGCUCGGGCCGCCCGACCCCUCUGGUGGAUCUGCAAGCGGCCGUCCCUGUCCCCUCGCGCGGUCGCGUCCUCCGCGGCUUGGGCCGCCCGACCCCUCGGGUGGAUCUGCAGGCCGGCGCGGCGUGGCGCGGCGCGGAUCUGC